CAAUAGCGUAUAUUAAAGUUGUUGCAGUUAAAAAGCUCGUAGUUGGAUUUCUGAUCGAGACAUCAGGUCGGGUCCGAGAGGAUCAUGUACUUUGAUUUUGUUUUGAUCAUCCUUGGGGAGAGCAUUUCUGGCAUUCAGUUGUCGGGAUUGGGAUCCUCAUCGUUUACUGUGAAAAAAUUAGAGUGUUCAAAGCAGGCCUCGGCCUCUGAAUACAUUAGCAUGGAAUAAUAAGAUAGGACUUUGGUGGUCUAUUUUGUUGGUUUGCACGCCAAAGUAAUGAUUAAUAGGGAUAGUUGGGGGUAUUCGUAUUCAACUGUCAGAGGUGAAAUUCUUGGAUUUAUGGAAGACGAACUACUGCGAAAGCAUUUACCAAGGAUGUUUUCAUUAA
rnacentral:rRNA from 1 species